rnacentral:rRNA from 1 species
GGAUCAUUAUCGAGUUAUUCAACUCCCAAACCCUAUGUGAACUUACCACUUGUUGCUUCGGCGCGCGCUUCGGCGCCGCCGAGGACACUUAAACUCUUUGUUUUUAUAAGCAUUUCUGAGUGGCCGAAAGGCAAAAAUACAAAUGAAUCAAAACUUUCAACAACGGAUCUCUUGGUUCUGGCAUCGAUGGAGAACGCAGCGAAAUGCGAUAAGUAAUGUGAAUUGCAGAAUUCAGUGAAUCAUCGAAUCUUUGAACGCACAUUGCGCCCGCCAGCAUUCUGGCGGGCAUGCCUGUUCGAGCGUCAUUUCAACCCUCGAGCCCGACUCUUUUGAGGACGGCUCGGCGUUGGGGGACGGCAGACUCCCCCCGGCAUCUCGCCGGGGACGCCGCCCCCGAAAUCUAGUGGCGGCCCUCCGAGGCGACCUCUGCGUAGUAACUUGUUCUCGCACCGGAAAGCUCAGAGCGGCCACGCCGUAAAACCCCAACUUUUUUCAGGUCGACCUCGAAUCAGGUAGGACUACCCGCUGAACUUAAGCAUAUCAWUAAGCGGAGGAAAAGAAACCAACAGGGACUGCCCCAGUAACGGCGAGUGAAGCGGCAACAGCUCAAAUUUGAAAUCUGGCCCCUAGGGUCCGAGUUGUAAUUUGCAGAGGAUGCUUUUGACAAGGUGCCUUCCGAGUUCCCUGGAACGGGACGCCAUAGAGGGUGAGAGCCCCGUCUGGUCGGAUACCGCGUCUCUGUAAAGCUCCUUCGACGAGUCGAGUUGUUUGGGAAUGCAGCUCAAAAUGGGUGGUAAAUUCCAUCUAAAGCUAAAUAUUGGGGAGAGACCGAUAGCGAACAAGUACCGUGAGGGAAAGAUGAAAAGAACUUUGGAAAGAGAGUUAAACAGUACGUGAAAUUGCUGAAAGGGAAACGCUUGAAGUCAGUCGCGUCGUUCGGGAUUCAGCCUUGCUUUUGCUUGGUGUACUUCCUGUUCGACGGGUCAGCAUCAGUUUUGGCCGGUGGAUAAGGGCUCAGAGAAUGUGGCACCUUCGGGUGUGUUAUAGCUUUGGGUCGCAUACAUCGGCUGGGACUGAGGAACUCAGCACGCCGCAAGGCCGGGUUUCGACCACGU